GAUGAAGAACGUAGCGAAAUGCGAUAAGUAAUGUGAAUUGCAGAAUUCAGUGAAUCAUCGAAUCUUUGAACGCACAUUGCGCCCCUUGGUAUUCCGAGGGGCAUGCCUGUUCGAGCGUCAUUUCAACCCUCAAGCACAGCUUGGUCUUGGGCUUCGCCGCUAACCCGGCGGGUCUUAGAAUCAGUGGCGGUGCCGUCGGGCCCUGAGCGCAGUAAUCUCUCUCGCUAUAGGGUCCCGGCGGAUGCUGGCCAGUAACCCCCAAUUUUCUAUGGUUGACCUCGGAUCAGGUAGGGAUACCCGCUGAACUUAAGCAUAUCAAUAAGCGGAGGA
rnacentral:misc_RNA from 1 species